UACGUAGGGGGCUAGCGUUGUCCGGAAUCAUUGGGCGUAAAGCGCGUGUAGGCGGUCCGGUAAGUCCGCUGUGAAAGUCGGGGGGCUCAACCCUCGGAUGCCGGUGGAUACUGUCGGGCUUGAGUACGGAAGAGGCGAGUGGAAUUCCUGGUGUAGCGGUGGAAUGCGCAGAUAUCAGGAGGAACACCGGUGGCGAAGGCGGGUCUCUGGGCCGUAACUGACGCUGAGGAGCGAAGGCAUGGGGAGCAAAC
rnacentral:rRNA from 1 species